UAUGGAAGGGCCAUCGCUCAACGGAUAAAAGGUACUCCGGGGAUAACAGGCUGAUACCGCCCAAGAGUUCAUAUCGACGGCGGUGUUUGGCACCUCGAUGUCGGCUCAUCACAUCCUGGGGCUGAAGCCGGUCCCAAGGGUAUGGCUGUUCGCCAUUUAAAGUGGUACGCGAGCUGGGUUUAGAACGUCGUGAGACAGUUCGGUCCCUAUCUGCCGUGGACGUUUGAGAUUUGAGAGGGGCUGCUCCUAGUACGAGAGGACCGGAGUGGACGAACCUCUGGUGUUCCGGUUGUCACGCCAGUGGCAUUGCCGGGUAGCUAUGUUCGGGAAAGAUAACCGCUGAAAGCAUCUAAGCGGGAAACUUGCCUCAAGAUGAGAUCUCACUGGAACCUUGAGUUCCCUGAAGGGCCGUCGAAGACUACGACGUUGAUAGGUUGGGUGUGUAAGCGCUGUGAGGCGUUGAGCUAACCAAUACUAAUUGCCCGUGAGGCUUGACCAUAUAACACCCAAGCAAUU
rnacentral:rRNA from 1 species